rnacentral:tRNA from 1 species
AGGGGUGUAGUUCAGCUGGUAGAACAGUGGUCUCCAAAACCACGUGUCGUGGGUUCGAAUCCUGUCACCCCUGCCA